rnacentral:rRNA from 1 species
AUUAGAGUUUGAUAAUGGCUCAGAACGAACGCUGGCGGCGUGCCUAACACAUGCAAGUCGAACGGAAUAAGGGGCUUGCUCCUUAUUUAGUGGCGCACGGGUGAGUAACGCGUAGAUAAUCUGCCUGAUGAUUUGGGAUAACACUUCGAAAGAGGUGCUAAUACCGGAUAAGCCCACGGAGUCUUUGGAUUCUGCGGGAAAAGGGGGGGACCUUCGGGCCUUCUGUCAUCAGAUGAGUCUGCGUACCAUUAGCUAUGUUGGUAGAGGUAUAUCGGUCCUACUCAAGGC